rnacentral:rRNA from 1 species
CGAAGGGGGCUAGCGUUGUUCGGAAUUACUGGGCGUAAAGCGCGCGCAGGCGGUUUUUCAAGUCAGUGGUGAAAGCCCGGAGCUCAACUCCGGAACUGCCAUUGAAACUGUAAAACUUGAGGAUGAGAGAGGUGAGUGGAAUUCCCAGUGUAGAGGUGAAAUUCGUAGAUAUUGGGAAGAACACCGGUGGCGAAGGCGGCUCACUGGCUCAUAUCUGACGCUCAGGCGCGACAGCGUGGGGAUCAAACAGGAUUAGAUACCCUGGUAGUCCACGCCGUAAACGAUGAAUGCUAGCCGUUGGGCAGCUUGCUGUUCAGUGGCGCAGCUAACGCAUUAAGCAUUCCGCCUGGGGAGUACGGCCGCAAGGUUG